rnacentral:tRNA from 1 species
GGACAUUAGCUCAGUUGGUAGAGCAGUGGACUUUUAAUCCAUUGGUCGAUGGUUCAAGUCCAUCAUGACCCACCA